rnacentral:rRNA from 1 species
ACGCCUUAUACAUGCAAGUCGAACGAAGUAGCAAUACUUAGUGGCAGACGGGUGAGUAACAUGUGGGUAUCUUCCCUUUGGUGAGGAAUAACACGAGGAAACUUGUGCUAAUACCUCAUAAGUCUUUACGGAGAAAGCUUUAUGCGCCAAUGGACGAGCCCGCACUUGAUUAGUUUGUUGGUGGGGUAAUGGCCUACCAAGACUUUGAUCAAUAGCUGAUCUGAGAGGAUGAUCAGCCACAUUGGGACUGAGACACGGCCCAAACUCCUACGGGAGGCAGCAGUAGGGAAUAUUGCACAAUGGAGGAAACUCUGAUGCAGCGAUGCCGCGUGAGUGAAGAAGGCCUUUGGGUUGUAAAGCUCUUUCGUCGGGGAAGAAAAUGACUGUACCCGAAUAAGAAGGUCCGGCUAACUUCGUGCCAGCAGCCGCGGUAAUACGAAGGGACCUAGCGUAGUUCGGAAUUACUGGGCUUAAAGAGUUCGUAGGUGGUUGAAAAAGUUGGUUGUGAAAUCCCGGAGCUUAACUCCGGAACUGCAAUCAAAACUUUUCAGCUAGAGUAUGAUAGAGGAAAGCAGAAUUUCUAGUGUAGAGGUGAAAUUCGUAGAUAUUAGAAAGAAUACCAAUUGCGAAGGCAGCUUUCUGGAUCAUUACUGACGCUGAGGAACGAAAGCAUGGGUAGCGAAGAGGAUUAGAUACCCUCGUAGUCCAUGCCGUAAACGAUGUGUGUUAGACGUUGGAAAUUUAUUUUCAGUGUCGCAGCGAAAGCGUUAAACACACCGCCUGGGGAGUACGACC